GCAGUCGACAAAAGAGCAUUCAACAUCCAGGGAUCAAUACUGAAAUAGAAUUCGUAAAGAAAGUCUGAAAUAUUCAAAAACAAAGCGCAUAGAUUCCAGUCAUGAAACGUUUUGAUGGCUUUGUAUUUAUAAUUUUUGUUUGUUUUUUUUUUAUUCAAGAAAAACGAUAAAUGAAUACGUUUUAUCAAAUUGAGAAUUUGAUAACCUCUAUACCGUUUGGCCUUAGACCAGGUUUUAUCAGUAGCUUAUUUUUAUAGAUUUCAAUAUUAGGAGGGAAAAUCGACGGGCUUUACGGAAACGGAAAAACCCAGGCCCGUGUUUGCGUUAAUGAAAGCAAUAAAUGAUUAUAACAACAAUUUUAAUUCGAUUAGACUCAUAACACGGAUGUCAAAAUUGAUAUCGACAGCAUUAUGUGAAGUUAAGAGUUGAAUAGUUCAAAUUGAAUUGACAUAACUGUUGCUUAAUCUUAAAUGGGCUUAAUGGAGGAAUAACUUUGCUGAAAUGGCAUUAUACUGAAUUUCAGACAUUAAAACAAUGUUUUUGCUC
rnacentral:misc_RNA from 1 species